rnacentral:rRNA from 1 species
UACGUAGGGCGCAAGCGUUAUCCGGAAUUAUUGGGCGUAAAGAGCUCGUAGGCGGUUUGUCGCGUCUGCCGUGAAAGUCCGGGGCUCAACUCCGGAUCUGCGGUGGGUACGGGCAGACUAGAGUGAUGUAGGGGAGACUGGAAUUCCUGGUGUAGCGGUGGAAUGCGCAGAUAUCAGGAGGAACACCAGUGGCGAAGGCG